rnacentral:sRNA from 2 species
CAUUCCAUUCCAGCAGCAUCCCUCUCCCACCGGAAAUACACUUCGAAGCAUAAAGAACCGCAUAACAACCCACAGUCGUAAACAGCGUGUAUGGCUCCGUCAGAACGGUGACGGUAAUCGAACCCGUCACACAGCUCACAGCCCCCGCACCAUACUAUUACUGGGUCUUCUGACGAUUACCCCUAGACUGACAAAUACGCCGUAAUGACAAAGGAUACGCCUAGCACCGCUGGCCUGCUGCCGCUGAAAAAAACCGGAAAUCCGUGAAAUACCUGACACAUUCCUCUCUGCCUCUCUUUGUUCCUUUUCUUUCUGGUUCAAAACACCCAAAACACCCAAAACACCCAAAACACCCAAAACACCCAAACGCAGUAUUCCGCUGCUGUCUGUAUUUGUUCGACGCGAACUGUCUCCAUUAAUUACUCCCGCUCCCGCUCUCGCUCCGACUCUCCCUUGGCUCUGUAUCUCUGUCUCUGUGUGAGCCUCUCGACUUCGACGUCGCCCUCUGUUGUCGCCUCCCUGCAGCCUCUCUGCCGCCCGGCUGCCCACCAGGCAUCGUGCCUUGCCCGCCCCAUCUCUCCCGAGUCCCUCCUCGCCGUCAAGACGUCGUCCCUCCUGGAUCCGUCGCUUCUCCUUCCGCAUCGUGUUGCUUUCUCGAAUAAUACGAUGGGUCGCACCGUUGACCAAGAGGUCCACGCGGCUUUCGUCGAGUUUCGCGCCAAGGAGGAUGAUAAGUGUCUCUCCGUCCAAUGCAUAUACUGCCAGCAGAUCAGAGCAAAGAACACCAGUCGACAGAAGCAACAUCUCCUCGAGUGUCCUGCCCUUCGCGGCCAUAAUCCCCCCCAUGCCCAAUCUGCCCCUACCAAUGGCGUAGGCGCCGUCAAUGGCUACGGGGCGCCUCCGAACGGGCCUGCUGGUGGCCCUGGUGCUGGGUCAGCGACAGCCACCCUUCCCUCUGCCAGUAGCUCCAUGAUGGCCAAUGGAGUUAACCCUCAUAGCAGUGCUCUGCAGACUCCUAUGCAGAAUCUCUCCAGCCGUCCGU